rnacentral:sRNA from 1 species
AUACUAAAUUUGAAGACACCUUAACAAAUGAGGAUAAGAGCAUAUUCAUCAUGAAAAAUUCAAAAAUUCUACCGAGCGUCGUUAGCUCAAUUGGUAAAAUUCCUAGACGAAUCUUAGAGGUUGCCGGUUCGAGUGACGCUUGGGACGAAACUAAUAUUAUAUGCGGUGGUUUUGGGCCUGGAGGGAUUACAAGAUUCGGCCCAAAACCUCCUGAUAUUCAAAAAAAAA